rnacentral:lncRNA from 1 species
CUUUGGAGAACAUAUUUUGUAAGAUCAAGAGUUCACCUUCGAUGGCUUCUGAACAGUACAUAGCAUGGUGCUGGGAAAUCAGCAGACGAUUUUAGAAAUACCCCUGUCUCCAUCUUCUCCUCCCAGCAAAGCCAAGUUGACAUAAAAAUUCUUCUGCUCCUCCUUCAGGAUUGUUCCUGUUCUUUGGCUUAUUGGAGAAGCUACUAUUUGUUUUCAAAUUAUUUUGUACAAUAUGACUUCAGUGAUUGCUGCUGCAGGAGUCUCGGGUCACAGACACGCUCAACCACCAACCUCUCUCUUUGAGUUAACCUGGCCAGCAAUGGAGCGUCCACUUCAGCACCACUUAUUAUCCAAAGUGAGGAUUUUAAAAGUGUUGGAGCUGGACAAACGCACGUAUGGACUUGUCCCCUGCCGUCGUCGUAAUAACUACUUCCGUCGUACAGAGCUUUACGGCUCUUCCUCUCCAGCACCCACUCUCCACAACCAGGCUCAGCCCUGCACAAGCGCUUGGGCUCGGGGCAAGGACAUUUCUCUCGGGCAGAGCUGUGGGCCUGCUCUGCAGCAUGAACGAUUUCCCCAGAAGUACUUCUCCCCAUGGCUCACUGUCAUGGAACCACAAUGGCCACCCUGCACAGAGGGGCUUGAAGGAAAUAGCUCCUAAGAUGGAGACAAAAAAGCGUUGAGUACCAUAUAUGAGGUUGACUCACUGAGUUCACAAUCUGAAAAACCUACCUCAUGAUUAUAAACCAGGACCUUGCUGUGAAGUGGAAAUUCUUGGAUACUAGGACAGAAGAACCUAACAUCUCCAGAAGCAGCUAAGGCAGAAUCAAUGCAAUGAAGGAAAGAAUUAGUGACGCAGAAACAUAUUUAAGAGGAAAUCCAAAAUACUAUUAAUUUAAUAAAUAUAAUGCCUCAUAAGGUCCUG